UACGUAGGGGGCAAGCGUUGUCCGGAAUUAUUGGGCGUAAAGAGCUUGUAGGUGGUUUGUCGCGUCUGCUGUGAAAAUCCGAGGCUCAACCUCGGACUUGCCGUGGGUACGGGCAGACUAGAGUGUGGUAGGGGAGACUGGAAUUCCUGGUGUAGCGGUGGAAUGCGUAGAUAUCGAGAGGAACACCUGCGGCGAAGGCGGGUAGCUGGGCCGACACUGACGCUGAUGCGCGAAAGCCAGGGGAGCGAACGGG
rnacentral:rRNA from 1 species